rnacentral:sRNA from 1 species
AGCCGCCACUUCCGAGAGCGCCUGCCGCCCGUGCGCCGCCGAGCCAGCUGCCAGAAUGCCGAACUGGGGAGGAGGCAAGAAAUGUGGGGUGUGUCAGAAGACGGUUUACUUUGCCGAAGAGGUUCAGUGCGAAGGCAACAGCUUCCAUAAAUCCUGCUUCCUGUGCAUGGUCUGCAAGAAGAAUCUGGACAGUACCACUGUGGCUGUGCAUGGUGAGGAGAUCUACUGCAAGUCCUGCUACGGCAAGAAGUAUGGGCCCAAAGGCUAUGGCUACGGGCAGGGCGCAGGCACCCUCAGCACUGACAAGGGGGAGUCGCUGGGUAUCAAGCACGAGGAAGCCCCUGGCCACAGGCCCACCACCAACCCCAAUGCAUCCAAAUUUGCCCAGAAGAUUGGUGGCUCCGAGCGCUGCCCCCGAUGCAGCCAGGCAGUCUAUGCUGCGGAGAAGGUGAUUGGUGCUGGGAAGGAAUUGUUAUGAGGUCACAGUGAAGAUCCUUGCCAUUGACUAAAGGAUAUUAAAACAGGAGACAUUAAUAUUAUUAUUAAGUUGGGUUUUUUGUUCUAUCU